rnacentral:rRNA from 1 species
CAGUCGCCGCGGUAAUACGGAGGGAGCUAGCGUUGUUCGGAAUUACUGGGCGUAAAGCGCACGUAGGCGGCCUUGUAAGUUAGAGGUGAAAGCCUGGAGCUCAACUCCAGAACUGCCUUUAAGACUGCAUCGCUUGAAUCCAGGAGAGGUGAGUGGAAUUCCGAGUGUAGAGGUGAAAUUCGUAGAUAUUCGGAAGAACACCAGUGGCGAAGGCGGCUCACUGGACUGGUAUUGACGCUGAGGUGCGAAAGCGUGGGGAGCGAACAGGAUUAGAUACCCGGGUAGUCCCUGUCUCUUAUAC